rnacentral:rRNA from 1 species
UUUGAUCAUGGCUCAGGACGAACGCUGGCGGCGUGCUUAACACAUGCAAGUCGAACGGUGACGAGGAGCUUGCUCCUCUGAUCAGUGGCGAACGGGUGAGUAACACGUGAGCAACCUGCCCCAGACUCUGGGAUAACAGUUGGAAACAGCUGCUAAUGCCGGAUACGAGACGGAGAGGCAUCUCUACCGUCUGGAAAGUUUUCGGUCUGGGAUGGACUCGCGGCCUAUCAGCUAGUUGGUGAGGUAAUGGGCUCACCAAGGGCGACGACGGGUAGCCGGCCUGAGAGGGCGACCGGCCACACUGGGACUGAGACACGGCCCAGACUCCUACGGGAGGCAGCAGUGGGGAAUAUUGCACAAUGGGCGAAAGCCUGAUGCAGCGACGCCGCGUGAGGGAUGAAGGCCUUCGGGUUGUAAACCUCUUUCAGCAGGGAAGAAGCGAAAGUGACGGUACCUGCAGAAGAAGCACCGGCUAACUACGUG